GGCACUUUGGCCGAGUGGUUAAGGCGAAAGACUUGAAUCUAUUCGAGUGAUCUUUUGGGAUUUCCCGCGCAGGUUCGAACCCUGCAAGUGUCG
rfam:Cyberlindnera jadinii strain CBS1600 genome assembly, contig: CJ5